UUUAUUACAGAAGUACAUUUGUGAUACGAUUCUCUGAUGAAGGGUAUGAAAUACGGUCAACAAAGCACUUGGAAAAAUGAAAGUCGUAGACACCAACCAUAAUAUAUAGCAAGAUGAUUCUCUCUACCUCGAGCCAAGACUUCCCGAUGUAAUUACCAUCCGUUUGAGCGAUGGUAAGAAGUGUCUUGAUCGUCUCCAUGUUCUUCGUUUUCAUUUCAUGAAUAUGCGUGCCACUGGUCGCAGUAAGUAAAGUGAACCUGGAUAGAGCUUGUACGAAAGCAUUUCUUUCCAACUACAAUGUGAAAAGAGUUAUUAGGAGUAUCGAAAAAUGAACUUAAUGGUAAAGAAUCUCCAUUCAUAUUACCUAACAUCAUUAUAACUAGCUGUAAUCAUUGAAAAACUUUUAAGAAAAGAUUAUUUCACAUUCACAUGCAUUCUGAUAUAUCCAUAUAUGUACACAAACAGACAAUUAAUUCAAAGGUAAACAAACAUCUGUUUUUAUUGUAUACAUAUGAGUAUAAUCUAAACCUUGAACAUAUAACACGCAAAGAACAUGACGUGUAUGUAACUACGUAAAUAUAUUCAUAAAUUUCAACAAUUCAACAUUCAACAUAUUUUUGAAUACAUAUUUAUGUCCGGGAAAGGGUCACCAGGUGAUGAAAAGGCAUGCUGAAUAUGCAAGAUAUUCUUAUUGCACAGCGGAUUCCAUCAAGACAAAAUAAAGCAACAGAAGAAUCGUCGUUGUCUUGUAGAUUGAAGCUGAACGCGGCAAGAAACGGACUCCAUGCAACCUUAAACACACAAAACAAAAUGGUUAACAAUGGGGACUGGGCAGGUUGUAAGAAGCAGAUUUAACUUAAGUAGUGGAUUAUCUCAAUAGAAAAUUCAGUCAAAUCA